ensembl:lncRNA LINC02055 long intergenic non-protein coding RNA 2055
UUGGAUAUAGCUGCUACUCUUUCGUCUUGGACCCCAGAAUGAACGUGUGGAUCUCCAGCCUCCCCACUAACCUGUGGGCCUGAGAACAAGAGCUCCCUGUUGCACUGCUGACUGAUACACAUAGUGCAAGCACAGCUGGCCCUCCAUACAGCUUGGGAAGAUGGAUCAAUAUGGCCUGUAGAGUAAGAAGACCUAUAUCCAGAUCUGCAUUUUACUGUUUUCUCUGGGGGGAUUGGAGAUAAUGCUGCAGAAAAGCCAAGUACACUCCCAAGGAUAGGAUUUGGCAGGAGCAGCUGCGACAGUGAGCUGGUGGAUCCCUGGCCAGGAGGGAGCACAAUGAUAAAAGAUUCAGGACUGUCAGAAAUGCUGGAUGCUGUAGAAAAGGAUUGGAUGAUGCCUUCUCACUGGCCCCAGGGCUCUUGGAAUUUGUUCUAGAGAAGCACAAAAAGAAGGGAGCAGGUGCUGGGAGCCACAUCUCAAGUUGAAAAGCAUACAGAACAAUUAUUUACUGAGAACUUGUGAAUGCCAAGAGCUGAUCAUGUGUGGCUGGAAUGAUGCUGGUGCUGUGUUCGUAGGUUUGCUUUGUCUCCAGCACCCCACUGGUCAAUAGGAACAAGGGAGCAAUUUUCAGAGUUAUUAGCUGUGUUUGAGCUGUGCUGUCUGCCAAAAGAAGAAGUGGCUUUUGGACGCAGAUUUUACCUCGGAUGUAAUGUGGAGAGACACGUUGACACCUCCCUCUGAUAAAG